GGGACUUUCUGAGGACAAGUGGAGGGGGCAGAAGCACGCCUUGCUUAGGGCUGUGGAAUCCAGCUUAACGACGUGACCUUGGGUGUCAGAAAGGCUGACCACCCUGGGCACCAGGGAAUCGCCUUUCAGUGAGACAUUUAGAAAUAGAUCAUUUGAGGGGGCUGGCCUCAGCACAUGCCGAUUCUCUUUCUUGGAGAGCAGGGACAAGACUUGGCAUUUCCUGGAGCCCUCUGAACUCCGGAUUCUGAAAUUUUGCCAAGGUGCCAAGGCUUGCUGCUGGGGGCCUUUAUUAGUGGUGCUGCUGACAUGUAACCAUUUGUUCUGAACUUUAAAUAGUCACCACAUAACCAUUUUCCAUGAGAAUCACUUGGCUCUUACCUCAUGAGUGAGUGUGGCUUUAUGUUCUGAACCUUGGUGUUUUCAAUGCUUCACAAUGUGUGGCUCUGCCCAGAAAUGUACACCUUGGGUACUUUUCUGACUGGCUCUUCAGGGAUCGUUUGGAAAGUGGUAGCUGACAUUUCACAAGAAGAGAAGAUGAAGAACUGAGGCUAUGUGUCUUAACAGCAAGAGCUUUCCACUGAACUUCAAGGGACUGCUUAGUCCUGGCUCUGUCACCAGUUAGAUGCAGUGAUCUUUGACAAGUCAUAUGACUUGCCAGACCUCAGUUUCCUAAUCUGUAAAAUGCGCUAGUGUGAAGACCAAACAUAAUAAAGUAUAGGAGGAAGGUGCUUUAAAAUCUUAAAAGAUAAUACAAGGAAAAAGCCUCAGAAAAUAGAAUUAUAUACAAAAUUCCAAUUUAUCUGACCCCAUUGCUAGCCCUGAUUCCUUUGCAAAGUCUUAGCUUUAGUUGCUGACCUUAAAGUGAAUUGUCAGGGCAGAGAAACCAAGGACAUCCUGCCACCCUCAGGCCGCUUGGCUCUUAGAUUGUAGAAACUUUUCUGACCAUUCGGAACAUGCUGUGUGUCCAGCACAAAGCCCUGUCCAAUUUCAAAUUCAUCUAUGGCAGAGACGACUAGUUCUUCACCCCAAACUCAUUGCCUUUCCUUCCGGGGCACCUGUCGGCCCACAUUUCCCAGCCCACUUUGCAGUUGAGUGUGCUCAUGUGACUGAGCUACGGCCAAUGGGAUGCAAGCGGAAGUGACGUCCACCAAGUCCAGGUAAAGGCUGUUAAGGAAUGAUUACGCCCUCUCCUUCUCUUUCUCCUUCCAUCUGCCAGAUACAGAUGGCAAGGAUACAAAUGACAAGGAGAGGGGGGUUAUGGAGCCACAGCUGGAAGGAGUCUGGUCCUUGAAUCACCAUUUGGAGAAAAAACCUGCAGAUGAUCCCAUCCUGCCUGCACAGCUUCUCCAGGGGAGAUAGACACACAGAAGCCCACGAGAGUCAAAUAAGAGCCAUACCUUCCAGGUCUCCAUGACACAGACAUCCUCCACCACACCUGUUAAGAAAGUCGAAAUCGUCACUGCCACCCACACUGGGGUUCUGCUUUCCUGAUUACACCUUUCUCAUCUCUAUCACCUAUGCCAGGAACCCAAACCCAAGUCUUCCCAGCUGUGUGCAGAAUCACAGUGGCCACACCAAGACAACAGUGCCCAGCAGCAGCAUAGUACACCUAAAGGUGCUGCACUCUUGAUGUGGAUGCUGAUGAAAAGGAGAGUAGAAAUAAUAACAAUAUGUUUCGACGGGGCAUGGUGGCUCAUGCCUGUAACCCCAGCACUUCGAGAGGCCAAGGCAAGAAGACCACUUGAGCCCAGGAAUUUGAGACCAGCCUGGGCCACAUAGUGAGAUCUCAUGUCUACAAAAAAUAAGCAAAAAUUAUCUGGGCAUGGUGGCAUGCACCUGUAGUCCUAGGUACUCAGGAGGCCGAGGUGAGAGGAUCACUGGAGCCUGGGAGAUUGAGGCUGCAGUGGCCCACGAUCAUGCCACUGAACUCCAGCCUGGGAGACAGAGCAAGACCCCAUCUCAAAAAAAAUGUGCCUGGGACCUUAUCUCAAAAAAACAACAAAAAACCCAAUAUGUUUUUUGUUACCUCCUUUGUGCCAGGCUCUGAAUUAAGCAUUCUAUGUGUGUUAUUUUAUCUACACUUUACAACUCCCCUACCAGACAGAUAAUAGUCUAGUCUCAUUUUAUAGAUGAAGAAACCGAGGUUCAUGGAGUUACAGCAUGACCCAUGCCACACAAUAAGUGUAUGAAAGGGCAGCAAAUUAAACCCUUGACUCUGAAGCCCAUGGUUUUAACCAUGGCUCUUUAUCCUCUCUCAUAGUUGCACACAUAUGACUAGAAAGGGACUCCAUUUUCCAGUGGAAAGUUGGCGGUCUGGGGGAGAAGUGGUA
rnacentral:lncRNA from 1 species